rnacentral:sRNA from 1 species
GCUGGGCAUGGUGGGGCACACCUGUAAUCCCAGCAGCUCUGGAGGAGGCUGAGGCAGGAGGAUUGUGAGUUCAAAGCCAGCCCCAGCAAUUUAGCAAAAUUCCCUAAGCAACUCAGUGAGACCCUGUCUCUA